AACCCAUAGGACCUACCAUACGCCAUAACAAGCAUUUCUGCACCAGCUUUUGUUGCAGAGUAUGGAUUUGUUGGGAGGAGUUGAGAAGCUUCAUGGUUUCCUACAACAGCAUCCUCAUCUGUCUCCCCAUAAACUUCAUCUGUGCUCACAUGGAUGAAUCUCCUAAUCUGGCCAGUGACUUUGCAGGCUUCUAAAAGUACAUGGGUACCAUAGAUAUUAUUCUUGGUAAACUCAAAGCUGUUACCAAAGGAGUUGUCCACAUGUGUCUGAGCAGCAAAGUGCAUAAUUGUGUCAAUGGAUUCGGUGAUGAGAAGGAAGUUGACAAGGUCAGCACUGCCAAUGUCACCCUUGACAAACUUAAAGUUGGGGCAUGAUUUAGAAGGGAGGAGGUUUUUCAGGUUUGAACAAUAAUCAAGCUUGUCAAGGACAACAA
rnacentral:misc_RNA from 1 species